AAUGAACGCUGGCGGCAUGCCUAACACAUGCAAGUCGAACGAGACCUUCGGGUCUAGUGGCGCACGGGUGCGUAACGCGUGGGAAUCUGCCCUUGGGUUCGGAAUAACUCCGGGAAACCGGGGCUAAUUCCAGAUGAUACCGAAAGGUCAAAGUUUCGACGCCCAAGGAUGAGCUUGCGUCUGAUUAGCUAGUUGGCGGGGUAAUGGCCCACCAAGGCGACGAUCAGUAGCCGGUCNGAGAGGAUGAUCGGCCACAUUGGGACUGAGACACGGCCCAGACUCCUACGGGAGGCAGCAGUAAGGAAUAUUGCGCAAUGGACGAAAGUCUGACGCAGCAACGCCGCGUGCAGGAUGACGGCCCUUUGGGUUGUAAACUGCUGUAGCAGGGGAAUAAGAGCCCACUC
rnacentral:rRNA from 1 species